UACGUAGGGUGCGAGCGUUAAUCGGAAUUACUGGGCGUAAAGCGUGCGCAGGCGGUUAUGUAAGACAGGUUGUGAAAUCCCCGGGCUCAACCUGGGAAUUGCAUCUGUGACUGCAUAGCUAGAGUACGGUAGAGGGGGGAUGGAAUUCCGCGUGUAGCAGUGAAAUGCGUAGAUAUGCGGAGGAACACCGAUGGCGAAGGCAAUCCCCUGGACCUGUACUGAC
rnacentral:rRNA from 1 species